UACGUAGGGGGCUAGCGUUGUCCGGAAUCAUUGGGCGUAAAGCGCGUGUAGGCGGCCCGGUAAGUCCGCUGUGAAAGUCGGGGGCUCAACCCUGGGAUGCCGGUCGAUACUGGCGGACUAGAGUCCGGAAGAGGCGAGUGGAAUUCCCGGUGUAGCGGUGAAAUGCGCAGAUAUCGGGAGGAACACCAAUGGCGAAGGCAGCUCGCUGGGACGGUACUGACGCUGAGACGCGAAAGCGUGGGGAGCAAACAGG
rnacentral:rRNA from 1 species